UAUUCAUCUUCUUCCUCAAAGUACCCCAGUCACCGACUCUCUCUCCCUCAUUUCCUCUACAUUAUUCUUCGACGUCAUUUUCUUCUUCAUCCAACCUCGUCAUAGAUAAUUGUUUGUUGUCUAUCGACGCUGCUCUCUAUUGCUGUCGCUCACCGAUUUUGGUUAAGAUUGGUGAAUUAGAUGUUUUUACACACAGGAUGAUAAAAAGAAAAAAUGAAAUGAGGAUCGCACGCAUGAACUCCAUGAUAAAAAGCUUGACAAUUCACGAGUUGCAAGGCGAGAUGAUUUGCUAGAAAACAAGAGUAGUAGUUAGGGCUGAUGUGACAUGAAACUGCUACUUUUUGCGCUGCCAUUUAUAGGCAAGGACAUUUGUGCAGCGUAGGCAAGGAUGGAAGUGCAACAUGAGCAUUUAAUUUUCCGCUUAAAAGUAUGCCUCUAAAAGAAGCCCAACUCCACCAUGAAGAAAUCAACAAAUGAGGUCAUCCCUUAAGAAAGCCAAUGAAGGACAAGUUUUAGAAUCAUUCACCAUUUGUAGUAUAGUAUUUCUUCCUCCACCCUUUAUCUGAUUAGCAUCUGAGUGAGAGCUUAGAAAGAGAUUAGAGAGAAAGAAGUUUCCUCACCAUUUUCCCUAACUUGUAAAAGAGCCAAGGAAUCCAUGAUAAUGGAUUAUGCGACUCGACACAUCUUUUCUUUUAAUUUUUGAACUUUAUGAUGAAUUGUAUGAAUAU